CUUGAACUCCUUUAUAUCGGAAAUGGAGCGCCCAAUAAUAAGUGCUUUAUUCCUCCAGAGAAUUACAUUUACAGACACUAAUAAUGUGGUUUUUGAACAUGAACAGUCCGAGGCGAAGAAGAGGAAAGCACUGUUGCAGGCGGCUAAUAGGAGGAAAAUGGCGGCGAGAGUGGACCGCAAAAUGGCAGCUGUGGCUAGGGAUAGAGCAUGGGCAGAAAGACUGGCUGAACUGCAGCGGCUUGAAGAGGAAAAGAAAAACUCAACAGCUUAAGAGUUGAUUGCUUUCAUCCAUUAGCUGAACUGCUGUGUCUGCUACUUUUGCUUGUGUUAUCCGCAGAACAUGAAAUUUCACAUGACGGUCUAUAAUAGUUUCUUUUAACUCUAGUAACGGAUUUUUAUGCCAGAAAAGAGGCUAAGGGGCUGUUUGCUAUAUGGGAAAUCAGAAAUCUACCAAGUUUGCUAAAAACUCUAUAUGUCGAACAUUAUUGUUUAUUUAGGGACGGAUGCUGACGAGCUUAGAUAUUGUUGAGUUAUCGCUUAGAUAUAUGUAUUUAUUAGAAACUAAUACUUUGGUAAUGAUAAAAAUACCAGCAACUGCGUUGAGAAGUGGUCUUUGCCGGUGAAGCCUAGCCUUCGUUUAUUAAUAUCUAUAUCAUUACCCGUACCGAUAUAUAACGAUCUUUCAAUUUACUUAUACGUUCAAACAAUAAGAUUAACAUAAAUUUUACUCUUUGUUAUCCGUUCGAAUCGGAAGGAAUGAUUAUGAGUUUAUUACUAAUAGUAUAUUCCGUAUAUCCUAAUCCUUUGCUGAAAUCGCCGAUCAAGAUCGCCACAGAACUCCCAAAUCAGUGAACCAAACAAUCCCUAAAUAUUUAUAUCGAGAUUUCCGGAUGAAAUUAAUGUUCACUGCGUUUUGACGUUUGUAUCGAGUACUUGGGACUUCAGACGGUAUCAUACCUCAACAAACAAACAUCCCAAAACAAACCAACUUCUCUCUCUUUCAGCUUUCCCUUUCUCUUGUCGCCGGCCACUCCGAUCCCGCCUGGAAUCCGCCUCCGACCGUCGCAAUAACUGCAUUCAUACCCAAACGCAGGAUUUUCUUGUUUAGUAAUCCUGAUUACCUGGCACACAAAUCGACGGCCAAUCUCGUAUCAGCGUUUUCCUAGUUAUAAUUGAUUAUAUCUGCGAUGGAAGAUUACGGAGCGAGCGACGAGGAGAACUACUAUUCCGAUGUCGAUCAGGAGGAGUCACUGGAUGGUUUUGAAAACGAGGAUUCCGCUGUCCCGAGUUCGCGGUGCAAGGAUUCCACAUCGAAGGUAGCUGAUCGUUAGGGUUUCUGGGUUUUGAAUUGGUUCGUCUUGCCCUCUAGUUCUGACGAAUUUAUUGCCUUCUUUGAUUGAAAGCUUAUUUUUUUUGGUAUAUCUAGGCCUACUUAUGUCGUAAUUUUGCGCUAUGACUGUGUCCCGAGCCUUUCGGUCUGAUCGAGUUUAUCUGUGUUUACCUUUGGAGUUCUUCUUUCGCUUCUCCAUACUUACCGAAUUAAACUGGUUGUUGUUUGCAUGAUUGCCCUCUUUCUUUUGUUCCUUCCCCUUUUUAUGGAUUUUGAUCACUUUAGCUGAAAUUGCGAUUUGAACAAAAGCGCUCUACCACUCUGUCAAUGGAGUUCCUGGUUAUGGAAUGUUUCUACUGAAUAAGCUCCUUAUGAUUCUUGUUUGGGGUUUCUGCAGGUGAUAACGAAAGAGUCUCUAUUUGCUGCACAGGUGUGGAAUUCUAUCUCACAUCCAAUAGCUAUUCUUGUAAAUUUCAUAUUUAUGUCUCUCUUAUCAGCAUUUCACGCUGCCUUCCUUUUUUGAUAAUUCAGACAGAGGACUUACGAAGAGUGAUGGAGUUGCUGUCUGUUAGAGAACACCAUGCUCGCACUCUGUUGAUCUACUACCGUUGGGAUGUAGAGAAGUUAUUUUCUGUGCUGGUAGAAAGGGGGAAAGCGCACUUGUUUACAGAAGCAGGUGUUAUGGUGGAUGCUCAUCGAAAUAACAAUAAUUACCAGUGUUCAUCUUCGACGGUGACUUGUGAAAUAUGCAUGGAGGAAGUGCGGGCCAAUAUGUCCACAAGGAUUGACUGUGGUCAUUGCUUUUGCAACGAUUGUAAGUACUGCUUCAUUCGUGUUCCUUUUUGCUCUAUCUCCUUAAUUCCUGUUCCUUAGUUGUUUGAUAAAGGACGAUAACAGCUUGUAAUUUAGCUUUGAAUCAUCCAGAGUCUCGGCUCCCUCUUUUCCCGUUAUGAGGAGCUCAGUGGUCAACAGAUCAACUUAUCUAAAUCAAGAGCUCUAUUUAUCCUGAUUUGAUUAUUAACGCACUUGUUUUAUUCCUGUGAAAAGGUUUGCAACAGAUUGCUGUGAAUGAUGUUUGACAGCAGAAUUGCCUUUUCCUUCCAUGUUCUACCCUGCAUUGUUGCAUUGUCUCACUAUUUUCUUUUUGCUGAAGGCUGGACCGAACAUUUUAUUGUGAAAAUAAAUGAAGGCCAGAGCAGGCGUAUCAGAUGUAUGGCAUUCAAAUGCAAUGCCAUAUGUGAUGAAGCUGUUGUCAGAAAUCUGGUUGAAAAAAGUCAUCCCGAUCUAGCAGAGAAAUUUGAGCGCUUUCUUUUAGAGUCAUAUAUCGAGGAUAAUAAAAUGGUGAAAUGGUGCCCCAGUGCUCCACAUUGUGGGAAUGCUAUAAGAAUUGAGGAAGAUGAGGUCUGUGAAGUGCAAUGCUCCUGCGGUUUACAGUUUUGUUUCAGUUGCUUGUCCACGGCGCACUCACCUUGCUCAUGUGUGAUGUGGGAGCUUUGGACUAAGAAGUGCCGUGAUGAAUCUGAAACUGUUAAUUGGAUGACAGUUCAUACAAAGCCUUGUCCAAAGUGUCACAAACCAGUUGAGAAAAAUGGUGGCUGCAACCUUGUGAGCUGUGUCUGUGGGCAAGCAUUUUGGUGAGGAUUCUAUUUCAGCUGUCCUGCCUUCUGUGUAUUUGUUUGUUCUAAAAGAAUGCUUGUAGAUGUAAAUCAAAUCUUUGUGGCAGAUCUCUGUAGCCUUUUCUGGGCGUACUUCUGACUUUUUGUUGUGGAAGAAGGUUUUGUUAGUGGGUUUUGAUUUACAAGUUGCGGUUCUUUGUCAGUGACGACUUGUUGAUGUGCCUGAGUGAUGCUGAAAGAUGUUUAAAUUUUUAGUGAUGCUGAAAGAUGUUUAAUUUUUUAUCUCCCAAUUCGUGUCAUGUGUUGAAUUGAGGUCUGACAUGGUUCAAUUGCUUUCCUUCGAUGCAGCUGGCUGUGUGGUGGAGCUACUGGCAGAGACCAUACAUGGACUCGAAUUGCUGGUCAUAGUUGUGGUCGUUAUAAAGAGGACGCAAAGGAAAAAACUGAAAGGGCUAAACGGGAUCUCUAUCGGUAUAUGCACUAUCAUAACCGGUACAAAGCUCACAAGGAUUCAUUUAAGCUUGAGAAUAAACUCGAGCAGACCAUUAAAGAGAGGGUGUCAAUUUCAGAGCAGAGGGAUUCAACAAUACGAGACUUCAGCUGGGUAACGAAUGGUGUAAACAGACUUUUCAGAUCAAGGCGGGUUCUUACUUACUCAUACGCUUUUGCGUUUUAUAUGUUUGGGGAAGAAUUAUUCAAUGGCGAGAUGACAAAGGAAGAGAGAGAAAUAAAACAGAAUCUAUUUGAAGAUCAGCAGCAACAGCUGGAGUCAGUGGUUGAGAACUUGUCGAAGCUUCUGGAAGAGCCAUUUGACCAGUACAUUGAUGAUAAAAUAAUGGAGAUACGUAUGCAGGUCAUCAAUCUAUCUGUUAUGACAGAUACCCGUUGUAAGAAAAUGUGAGUUUUAGUGUGCUGGAUCAUUCUUGAGAACAUAAAUCUGUGAUUAUUGUGAAUAACCAUUGAUGUUCGAGAUUUUUUAUUGUCUGCAGGUACGAGUGCAUCGAGAAUGAUUUAUUGGGUUCUCUUCAAUUGGGCACUCAUAAUAUUGCUCCAUACAAGUCAAAGGGCGUGGAGAAGGCAUCAGAACUCUCCACUUGUUCGAGCACUAGAGCCAGUGAUGCUAGUACGGACGUCCCACCAGAUGUCAUAUCAAGUGGUAAUUUGUGUUGGAAAGUGUUAACUUGUUAAAACAUCCAGCAGCCUUGAGUUUUUAUGGGGUUAGAAGAAUAGUAGUGCCAAACUUGUCUUCUUACCAACAAACCAAUGCCUUAAGUUAAACUAAUUAGUUCUCCGACUAUUGCUAGAAAAUUUGUUCUCAAUCCUAUAUUCCUAUUUCAGUUUAAUUUUGUGAGUAGUUUUUGAACUUCCACUUUUAGUUCCAUCGUCAAAUAGCUUACUCACAUCUUAAAUCAUGAAAUAUACCAUAUUUUGGAGUAAGGAUUUUCAGGUCUUUUUGCCUCCUUUCUUCCUUCUAAUUUAGCAUGCAUCAAUGCCAUUUUUUAUGGAAAAUAUUAGAACAUAAAACUUUCACAGAUAGGCAUUAGUUUAUGUACUGGUGUGUUAAGAAAAGGGACGAAUAGCUUACCAAUUUGAUGUAGAAGCAGGUUCAGUAUUAAAUUGUUAAAAGAGCAGCUGCUAAGAGUUCAGUUAGCUAGAGUUAACUGUUAAACUUACUGUGAAUGAGUUUUGGUACAUAAAACUCUUGCGGUUCUAGCAUUGUUAUGACUACUAUCACCCUCUUAACGAGAAAGGAAAAUGAUACUAAAUCAGGCUUCAAGAUUCUAUAUAUAGUUGUAGGUAUCAUCCAAGAGUUUUUUUUCCCUUUUAAAUGCAAGUAUGGAUCUGUACCUUUCAAGCUUGAAGCUUCUCUCUGUAUACUAUCCAGUAUAUCUGCAAGUGUCGAUUGGUUGCAUAUGUAACAAAUUUCGGUGCUUAAAACUAUGUGGUAGUGUGGUAGCCUUGAGACCUUUGUUUUACCAUUUUGGUUGCGACAUGCGUUAUGUCUUCUAGAAGGGUUUCUUAUCUAAGUUCGUUUGUUUAUCUUGUGGUUAAGGAUGUCUUCAGAAUCAAUGAGCCGUGUGUGUGUGUGUUAUAUUGUAUACGUGCAAGAAGCCUUGAAGUUCAUAAGUGCCUGUUGUGCCACAGUAGUAAAGUAAAACCGGUGCAACAUACUGUAUUGAACAGUAUUAGUACAUGGAUGUUAGUUGAACUGACCGGUAUACUGCACUGCAGGUGGGACAUCGAAACGGGACAGGCCAUCAGUGUCAGGAAGCUCAAACGAAAGUGAAAAAUGCUCAUUGCAGAAGCGGGCAAGGAAGGAGGUGAGCGGAUUCUUUGAUCUAAAUAUGCCGGCAGACUUGAUUGAAAGGAACUGAAAAAGGCUGAAGAUGUGUACAGAAGUAAGUCAAUACCAUAUUUUUUGACCAUGGAUGUUAAGAGUAAUUAAUGAGUAAGGCACGCAUGUGAGUGCGCCCUCCAAGACACUUGGUCUAAUAUUUUCUGCAAUUCCUGCGGGUUUUUUUUAUUGUUCUUUUCGUCGAAAUCUCGUGUUACUGCUAUGUGCUGCUGGGAUGUUGUACAUAGCCUUCCAUGAAAUGGGAGGUUGUUGGGAAUGGAUAGAUACGGUCGACGUGGGAGGGGUGGGUUAGAGUUGGAUUUUGUUGGACUGAUAAUGUAAUGCCUGCAAAUUCCCAGUUGGGAACAGUUAAUCCAGUUUUAAUUUUAUUUCUGCUUUGUUUUCAAGUGCUGCAACUGUCUGUUGCUGUUGCAUGCAUGGUAUCGGGUCUUCAGUGGAGAAGUUGGCUGCCUGUCGAUUUGGUUAUGAUCACUCGGUUAUUUGUUCAGACUUGAGAUUUCAAUGAUUGCAGGAAUAUGGUUUGAAGUUUGGUGAUUUCCAUGUUAAUAGGUGAAAGUCUAGUGACCGGACAAGUAAUAAACCCAACUAGGGCCGUUGAUGAACCAAACUACUCUCAAGUAGUUCGGUGUUCGACUCGGGAAAAACUCGUUUGUGAUUUGACGCUUAGCGAGUCAAACUUGAGUCAAGGUAUGUUUGAUUCGAUAGCCUCGCGAGUUGGCUAGAGUUCGAGAGCCAACUCGAAUACUAAUUCGAUAAUAUAGCUCGUUAUUAGAUUCAAUAAUGCAACAUGUGGCUUGUCACAAAUAACAUAUGCGAUAAAAGAUAUAUGUAAAAACUUAUUUUAGAAUAAUUUAUUUUUUAACUUGAUUUGUUGAUAUUUUUUAGGUAUAUACUUCAAAUCAACUUAAUUGAACUUUCAUUGUAUGUUUUAAAGAAUGAAAUUUGAGCUGAGCUCGAACUUGACUAUCAACAAGCUAGACUCUGGACCAAAAUUUUAUAGCAUGAGUUUGAGUUUGGCUCAAACUUAAUGAUCAAGAUUUUCGAUUUCCUACGAGUAUAAUAGGUAGAGAGAUUAGUCAGAUGUGCUAUGCUGUUGUCUGUAAUUGUCUCACUCUCCACUGAAGCUUCACGUCAACGAACUGUACCGUUAUGAUAGUACCAAAAAUCCCUCACCUCGCGUUCUGUUUCCUCUCUACAAAAAUCCAUCAUCUCUCUCUCUGUAACCAACAAUUUUCUACCCCUCCCUCAUAACUUCCGCUGCCGUUCACACGGCCGGUGUCUCUUCUCCUCUAGUUACCUCUGAAGUGCAAACUUAAUUUGAACUGUACCGCCGGUGUCCUAGCUUAGUACUAGCUUGUUUCCGUUCACAGACCUCUGACUGAUUGGGGUUCGUCUAGUAGAGAAAUUGAGAUGGAACAGCUGCUAUCAGCUGCACCCGAUGCUAGAUCCAACGAAACUGCUCUUGAUUCCGUCCAAUUUGGGGAUGAUAUCCGCCACUUAAUCACCGCCCCGACUGAAAAUUCGAGCUCCUUCACCGCUCUCCUCGGUUUGCCGCCCAAUCAGGCCAUGGAGCUACUCCACUCGCCGCCUGAUUCUACCUUCAAGACCUCACCCGACGGCCCCAAGCUGUACCAACCGCCUCACCACUUCAAUGCCGACUUGCUCACCUUCCCCGCCAACGCCGCCUUGAACAUUUCGCCCGAGACCAACUCGAAUUCCAGAGCGAAGCUGAUGCAGAAGACCGUGAAGGGCGAACCGGCAGAUACUGUAUCUUACCUGAUCAAUUCGUCGCAGCCGUUGGCUUCCGAUUCAACUGUCGUAGAUAAUCAGAGGCCGGGUGCAAAGAGGAAGGAGAGAGAAAAGAAGGUAGAAAUUAGGGUUCCUAGCUACUUCCAAGUGUGUUCUGGAUUUCUUUGUCUAAUUCAGUUCCGUAAAUGCAAACCCAUCGCCUAUUGAUCGAUCAAUCCAUCCAUCCCAGGGAAGAAGUUUCUCCAAGAAGAGCAAAUGCGAUAAAUCCGAAGACGGAGAGAAGCUCCCAUUCGUUCAUGUUCGAGCUCGUCGCGGUCAAGCUACGGAUAAUCACAGUUUAGCAGAGAGAGUAAUCAUCUUUGUUUUACUUAAACAUCCAUUAGUGACCGUCACUGGUAAUUAAUUAAUACAUCGCAUACCAACUAUUUUGUUUGGCAUUAGGCGAGGAGAGAGAAGAUCAACGCCAGGAUGAAGCUCCUUCAAGAGUUGGUCCCCGGCUGCAGCAAGGUACUGAUUAAUUUGUCGGACAUCUUAGUAAUCAUUUGACGUGGACUUUAUUCUGAUUAAUUAAUCAUUAAUUAAGAAAAGUGUGUAAUUACCUGAUUGUAUGUUUAGGAUUAUGUGUAGCCCUCACCUUUUGAAAAGUUGUGGUCUUGCUUUUGUACUAAGAACAGUUGGUAUCACUAUUGUCAAUUUUUUGGUGACGUUGAGGUGGGCUGCGUCGUCAUUUCACAUUUUCGCUAGGCUUCCCGUUUCCAGGGCUAGUUUUGUCAUUUGCAAUUGGAUCAUUUGGUUCUCUCGUACGGUAACCGGGACAGUUGCGCUCCUGCAAUUGCACUUCAAAUUAUCUCUGAUAGCGCUGAAUAAAACAUAGGGUUGUAAAAUAACCGUAUUAGCUGGAUAUGCUUCAGUGGCGAAGGAUCAAAUGUUUUGGUCCCAUUUUGCAGACGUGAAAUCUGCGUUCCUUCUUGAAAAGGUGCACCGUACCAACUUCUAUCCCAAGUUUGGUGUCUGUCUCUGAAAAUGUUAACCUACUGGAACAUGUGAGAUAAAAAAGAUCACUUUGAUUAAUUUGUUUGCCAAGUUCUGUAGACCUACAUCACGAUUAGUCGAUUUUAUGUGAGACCAAAAUAUCUGAUUCGUGUCUCGCUGUAUUUGUUUUGAACUUUUGAUAAAGUUUAUUUUCCCUGUUAUUAAUUCGUGGAUAGAAAGAGUUGUAGAUUGCACUUUGUGGUUUAAUCUGGAAACAGCUGAGAAGUUACCCUUUCUUUAGCCUGGCAUAUUUACUUAAGAUGAAUGAUUUGCUUCUGUGAUCAAGUUUUCCUGGUAUGCAGUUAAGUUAUGGCGAUCACAUAUUAUUCUUCCAGCAUAGUCCAUCAAUCUUUGUGUGAAGUUAUUUACUAUUGCUGUGUAUGCAACAGCUCAAUCAUAUGCUAUCUGUGAUAUGCAGAGCUGUAGGCAUUCCCUGGAACUUAAUACUACCAUUACUUGUAAGUUGGAACUGAUUUCUGAAUCCCAAACUAAGUGUACAAAGUUGUGUAUGCAGAUCUCUGGUACAGCACUCGUACUGGAUGAAAUCAUUAACCAUGUCCAGUCCUUGCAACGCCAAGUGGAGGUGAGGACCACAAGUCUAUCAUUGUCUUCUGAAACAAGGGGUCAUUAUGGAAGGGUGUUUUAAAUUAAACUGUUUGUGAUGCAACUGUAUUUCACUGGACUGCAAUCUACAGCAAUUCAGAAGGGAGGGUGCAGGGGUGAAACUCUCUUGAAUGAUGGAUAUAUAUGGCAACUUUUGUCAUCAUGUGACCGACAUGUCCUCUUUUAGUUUUUAGGAAGUUGAGUCUAAGAUUUUACUGAUUAUGCUAAACUGCUGUCUUAGUCUUCAAUUUUUUUACAUUGUUUCAGGUAUUGUCAAUGGAACUUUCAGCGGUGAACCCCAGAAUAGAUUUCAAUAUGGAUAGUAUGAUGGCUGUUGCAGUAAGUUGGCUUCAUCAUUGUUUGAAAUUGUGUUCAUAACUUCAUGUGCUAUACUGUGGGAGCAAAUAAGCUUUUAUGUGUUUGCUACUCUGUAGUCUGCAAAGUUGUACGUGUCUCUUUCAUUAGUUGAAACUAGAACUAGUAGUUAUUUUAGAGUAUAAGACAUGUAGUUCACUGGACAUUAGAUGUUUUUCCUUUUCAUGUAUCUAGAGAGGAAAAAGGAAAAGAGUCGAAUUUCAAGACCCUGCAGUAUCUGUCUGUCUGUCUGUCCUUUUGUCUUCAUGUUUCCAGCCGGGAGGACAAUAUAUAAUAUGCUCACCCACUGGCAGUGUUUCUUAUCGCUACAGAAUUUGGAAAGGUCAAAUUGGGCCGUUGAUCUGGAAAUACUUACUCUUAUCGCUACAGAAUUUGGAAAGGUCAAAUUGGGCCGUUGAUCUGGAAAUACUUACUAUUUGUAGUCUUUUCUAGAGUCUGAUUGAUCAGAAUCAACCUCAGUUAAUCUGUGUAUUUUCAUGGAAACCUGCAUCUGCCACCGACAAGUGUCUGUGUUGGAAAACACACUCUUUAACAAACUUAUGUGUAAUUCACCAACACUUACAAACUCAAACACUGUGCUGUUCAGCAUAUUAACUGUGUAUUUUGGUCGUUUAUCCGUUAACAGUUUACCCAUCCCCGUUGUUUUAUGGCAUGGCUGAUUUAACUGUUUCUUAACUACUUGAUCAAUCUGUUAUUUCUAUGUUAAAUGGAUGGUGCGAAGGAGUAAAUGUUUCUGGCUUCGUAUAAUUAGUUUCUUUUCCAUGGUUUUGUACCCUUCAUAUGGAUCAAAGACAACUAAAUGCCAGCUGAGUUUGAACUGGUUUUUCCUUCACUCAUUGUCUGACGUAUUCAACAUUCUGUGUAAAAAUUUCCAGAGUGGAUCUCUAAUGGAUAGCAACUUCCCAGCUGUAAUGAUGCCUAUUAUGUGGCCAGAAAUACAAGAAAAUGGGAGCAGACAACAGUAUCAACAGCAAUGGAAUUCAGAUGCAGUUCACCAGCCAACUUGGGGGAAAGAAGAUGGCCACAGCAACUUCAUGAGUCGAGAGAACUCGCUGUUGAGUUACGUCUCCUCGGCAAAUUCAGGUAGAAAUGAGUUCAUUUUGCCAUUAGUUGCAUCAAUGAGUACUGGAAUGAAGAUCUGUACUUAUUAAUAGAGAAAAAAUGGUAAAUUAUACUCUUCUACUGUAUAGAGCUAAUGUGGUUGCUGCCGGAUGGGGACAAAUUGACUGGUUUUGGUCAUAAGUACACCCCUACUUGGUCUUACAUUGUUACUACUUUUGGAUGCAGCAUCUCUAAACUCGAAUGAACUAAAAUGGAGCUAUGAACAACGGUGAUUGUAGCUGAGCUAAGGAGUGGGGUAUAUAUAAAUAUGGAAUGGAAUAUGCAGUAGUUGUAUUAGCAGGUAGCAGGCAGGAAUGUGAAUAGAGGAAGGAAAGCUCGAUCUCAUUAUUCAAUUGUCCCUAUUCAUCCGACCGACGAUCAUGGAGGCGAAGAAUUCGGCAGCAAGCAUUGUAUACGACAUUAUAUUGAUGAUAAAACUUGUUUUUCAUAUAUAGAUAUAAGUUAAUUUUUGUAUACAUGUAAUAGAACUAAUCCGUUACAGGUGCUGGAAAAUUGAACGACUGGAGAAUAAUAAGGGGUAUGAAAUGCAUUGCAUCAUCACUACUGACUGUACUAUCCAAGCAGCAGUUGUAAAAGGUAUGCCGAUUGGGCAAGUAGGGAGGAUGUUGUUAUGUGUUACCUUUGUUAAACAAUUUAAAAUUAAAUUAGUUUAAAACAGAUCAGUAGAUGAUUGGAGAAGGGAAAUGAUCCUCUAGAAAUGCUACCAGCCAAAUGAAAUGAAGUCUUCUUGACUCUUGAAAGUUGCAACGGAAAAGUCAAUUCUCUACCGAUUUUGCCAAGAUCCAUCCGCAAAUCAAAUCCAAUCCCCCUCUCUGUCGAAGAAUGCCAACUCUGCUUCUCUACUCCAUCAUCCUCCAUUUCAUCCUUCCCGCCACUUCUUCAUCAUCUUCACUCCCUCCAGCAAUCCAGCUCCCUCACCCGCCCUCCCCUACCACCGCCGUCUACGUCACUGACUAUGGCGCCACCGGCGACGGAGCUCACUACGACACAUACGCCAUCCAAUCCGCAAUCGACUCUUGCUCUCCUUCCUCCUGCUCCUCCUCCACCUGCUACGUCACCUUCCCGCCGGGAACCUACCUAACCGCCACCAUCCACCUCAAGUCAAACGUCAUCCUCGAUAUCCAACCCGGCGCAGUCCUAUUGGGCGGUCCAAGGGUUGAGGACUACCCCAAGCAGUCCAGCAGGUGGUAUGUGGUCCUGGCGGAGAACUGCACGGACGUCGGGAUCACCGGCGGGGGGAGUGUCGACGGCAAUGGCCCCAUGUUUGUUGAGAGGUACAACAGUGUGAAGAACGUGAUGGUGAGCUGGAACGCCACUGGCGAUUGUUUGGGGGACGAGUGCCGCCCUCGAUUGGUUGGUUUCCUUGGCUGCACUAACGUCCGCGUCUGGAAUGUUAACUUCACCCAGCCCGCUUACUGGUGGUCAGUUCUUGUUCUUUCAAUUUCUAUUCAAUCUGUUCAUUUCCUUAGCUUAUCUGCAGAAUUUGCUGUCAAGCAUAGUGAAUGCGAGUUAAUAUACAGUCAGACUUUCACAGUCAACUGCUAGUUAAGAUCAAUGUUGAUGAAGUUAGGCAAAUGAUUGAUGUGAGAAUUCAAAUUUCAAAACCAACUGAUGGUGGCAAGGGACAAGCUUAUCCUCUGCAGUAUUGCCUGGAUUGGUUAAGAGGAUAUUUCUUUAUUGUCGCUACAGACAUAAUUGGUUAAAGAAAAUAAAAGAGUGGAUAUUGUAUAGACUAUCUACUAUCCAACGACAGAAGAUGACUAGUAGCGUUGUUUGCUGCUUUGUCUUGGUAUGAAUUGUUUGCCUAGAAAAGCUUUUUCUAUUCUUCAUUGAUUCUGAAUGCGACAUCUGAUCUACCAAUUCUGUUUUGAGAAAUUUGGAAGCUAUCUCCAAACGAAUGAAUACCAAAAGCUCACGCUUUCAUUGUUUGGAGAUGGCAGAUGCAUAAGGUUAUAUAUCAUACAUACUUACGGGGAGAAUCAGAUAUCUACUUGAGUUUCUUUAUUUCGUAAACAAACCUGACGAUUGCAUUUUUGCAGCUUUCACCUGGUAAGGUGCAGCAACUCUCUAAUCCAUGAUGUUUCUAUAUACGGCGACUUCAACACACCUAACAACGAUGGGAUCGACAUUGAAGAUUCGAAUAAUACAGUCAUUACACGAUGCCACAUUGACACGGGAGAUGACGCCAUUUGUCCCAAGACAUACACAGGGCCCCUCUAUAACUUGACUGUAACCGAUUGUUGGAUUCAAACAAAAUCUUCAGCUAUCAAGCUUGGGAGUGCUAGUUGGUUUGACUUUAAAGGGCUGGUCUUUGACAACAUCACCAUCGUGGAUUCGCAUAGAGGACUUGGAUUUCAGAUACGAGAUGGAGGUUGGUUUUUUCUAUUUGUGCUUAAAUGAGAAAAGUCUAUAAAAAUAAACAGUCCUGACUCUAUCAAUCUGCUAGUGCUUGAAUUGGAUACAGUUCUUGAUAAAAAUUAUACCUUUCUGAAUUGGUUCAUAGUCCAUUCACCGAAAUUAGUUGUUCCAAUGAGAGCACAGAAUGGAGAACUUUGUAUAGUAGCAAACUCCAUUAUAUAUCUCAUGAUCUGUUUAUUGUCAUUUCUUACUUUUCCAGCUCAUUGGUCUGCAUGACGCAGAGAUGGUUAUAAAAACCUGAAACUGGAAUAAUUGAAUCUGUUUCAGGAUCUUUGUUGUAGCAAAGAUGUCCAUACUUCCAACAACAAUCGACUCUGUGAAUGAUGAUAAUGAAUCCCUUAAACUUUUUUGGUCUUUCGUGCAGGAAAUGUGAGCGACAUCGUUUUCUCCAACAUAAACAUAAGCACAAGAUACUACGACCCAUCAUGGUGGGGGAGAGCAGAACCCAUCUACGUGACAACGUGCGCAAGGGACUCGAGUUCAAAGGAAGGCUCCAUAUCCAACCUCGUCUUCAUCAACAUAACUGCGCACUCUGAGAACGGAAUCUUCUUAUCAGGUUGCAAAGGUGGCAAGCUCAGCAACUUGAGGUUCACAAACGUGAAGCUGACGUACAGAAGGUGGACAAAUUUCAAAGGUGGGUUGGUGGAUUACCGACCCGGAUGCCAGGGGCUUGUGAAGCAUGGCGCUGCAGGGAUGAUAAUGGAACACGUCCAAGGCCUGGAGGUUGAGAAUGUGAGCAUGACAUGGUCCGGUGGUGAAGUUGCUGAAGAAGAAUGGGAUAACCCUCUUGAGUUUAGACCUUCUACCGUUAACAACGUCUCUUUCCUCAAUUUUCAUUCGGGGAUGUACUACGACGCCGCACUGUGAGACGGAUAAAGCUGACGAGUUUCUGUCCAAUUAUAAAACGUUGUCGUUUAGUUUUUUUUUUUAAUUUAAGAAAUGACCUUGUGGUAGUCCACAUCAGCAGGAAAGAGUGACAACGCAAUCUCCGACGUGUCCAUAUCACUUUUUUCCUUCAUAAUUUGAUUAUAGGUACGCUGUGAACAAAAUAAAGAUUAAUGAUGAAUGUGAUUGAUUUUAAGUAAUUUAAUAAUAUUUGAUACUUUUAAAUUCAUAUGUUAUAAACAAAACAAUUAAACAAAUAUACGUCUUAAAAUUAAUCUCACAAACUAAAUAAAUUUUUUUAUUAUUUAUAUUUAAUAUCUUGAUUUCUCCUCUCGAAACAUUAAAACAAGUGUCAUUUGCCAAAUAUAACGUAGCGGCAUAUAGGAGUCAAAACGACAGAGUUUGAGAAAGAGAAGUCCGUCCGCCAGCAUUCCUAAUUUCCAUAAAACCAAAGGGCAGCCCCGAACGCAUCAAUUCCUCUCUCGACCCUAAUAGCACGCCGGAAACCGAAAAAUGCCUACGCUGCAACUUUUCAAGUCGGCGUCCACCAUGCUCCGCCAACGGCUGGCCGGAUCUCUCCGCACCCGCGGCGGCCACUCCGGACCUAGCCCAUGGGUAACCCCAGGCCACGAGGAGCGUCCCAAGGGCUACCUAUUCAGCCGGACUCCGCCGCCGCCUGGACAGUCCCGCAAGUGGGAGGACUGGGAGCUUCCUUGCUACAUCACCAGCUUCCUCACCAUCGUCAUCCUCGGCGUCGGCCUCAACUCCAAGCCCGAUCUCACCAUCGAGACAUGGGCUCACCAGAAGGCCCUAGAGCGCCUCGAGAUGGAGAAAUUGGCUCUCUCUUCCACUGAUUCCGAUUGAUACCAAACCGGAAAUGUGGCGGUUUCCCCGUUUUCCCAGUCUGAUCGAUCGACAGUUGUUUGAAUGGAAGGGGUUUCCAAUUCUCUAUUAUGUUGUCGAUAAUGUGUAGUUUGAGAAAAUAAAAGUUUUGCGACUUAACUUCGUUUUUUGUUGAUGAAAUUGGGGAUUCAUCUGGAUUGUUUUAGUUCUGGCACUUAUAGCUGUUUACUUAUGUAUGGAUUGGCAUUCCAAGUUUCAUACUUCAGUCUAAUUGCACCGUUAAGGCUGCUAAAUUUCGUUAUCUCGAUUUUAUUUCUGCAUCUGCCUGGAGAAUUUUUGGCUUCAUUUACUCAUUAUCCAGUUGUGGUUGACUUGCACUUUGUUGCUUAUGUCCUUAAGCCUGGCCAGCUCACUCUGAUGCUCUGAUGCGGUGCUGGAUUAAGUAUUUUGAUUCUUAUAAUGCCUUUCAUUUGUGAUUUCAAUGAUCUUUUGAACUUUAGAGAUAUUUAUUGUUUGGAAUUCAUUAACAAAUUGUUCAUUGGUUUACUUGGCUGUUAAAUUGUCUCAAGUAGUCAAGUAAGAAUGUCUUUCCAUUGUCAACCGCAGUAUUGUGAGUUUUGCUUGAUCACUUGUAUGUUAUUGGAGAAUUAGGUGCUUCAAAUAUGUUUUGGUGUCGUUGACUUGAAGCAGGCAUAUGAAUAGCUUUGUGUCGGAUCUGGUUCACAAUUCAACGGGUAUUGUUCAGGUAAAGGUGGAUUUCUUGUUAUUUGUUAGAGAACUUACUUGUGGGUAACUUGAACAGCUUGCUUACAGGUAGAUGUGAGUUUUCUGUUUGGUUCUUACACUAUCUACCUGUGGAUGAUUUGGGACAUUCUUGUACCAAUGUGGCCUCCCCUCCUUAUUCCUAUUUUGAUUUGAAUGCUUAGAUUAUUAUCUCGAUGUUCUGUGUAGCUUACUUUAUGGUCCAUACGUACUGGUUAAAUAAGUUCAGAUUCAGUGAGCGUAGAAUUUCUUCUGUGGUAUGUUGUGGCUUUAUGAGGGAACUGGCAAAAUAUGGGAGUUGUUUUUUGGCACUUGAAGUGAUUUGUUAUUAUCCUAAUAGAGUAAUAGGAGAAUGCUUGGCUUGAGGCUAGAACAUAGGAUUGGUUGAUCGAGUAAGAAUUGCUGGCUAGGAUAAAAGGCAAUGCAUAAUAAGUUGUGGAGUUUAGCAUGUUCUAGGAUGUUGUUAGAUGCUAUAUGGUGUAGGCUGUAUGAAUCUGUACUAUUGACAUGAACAUCUGCAGAGUCUUUCAAUCCUGUUGAUAUCAUCUGAUUCAUCGAACUGGAAGUGUAGUAUCCAGUCCAUCUCAUCACUAGUUUUUUUAUGAAUUAAGCCGUCUUAUUAUUCAUGAUCAAAUCUUUGCGAAAGGAUGUUUGUUUUCGGAAGGCUGCAAAAUAGGUUAUACUCUGUUAUUGGAUGUUGAAUAAUGAGUCUCGAAAUUAAGUUUGGAGUUGAUUAGGUAGCUGUUUGCAUAAGAUUAUUCCGCACAUUGCUGCCGAGUAAGUAGCAGUAGCUGUCCUGCAACGAAACACAUGAUUGGAAGAGGUACUGCUGCUGCGCAUGAAUUGAGUAGGUUUGUUGGAAACUGGAGUGUUGUUGCAUGAUGUUGGUUAACACAUGAGAUGCUUGGUAGGUGGUAAUUAGAGAACUCUAAAUUUUGGAAUUAGCAUCACCAUCUUUAGCUGCAGCAUGGUUUAUCUGAUCAGAUGAAGGGAAACCCCUUCUUGUAAACGCAGCCAUGCAAACCCACGUUAUUUUAGACCCGUUUCAUUACUUGUCUGAUUCUUAGAGGGACUUCUCAGAUCUUGUUUAUCGACUCUCGGAGUAGGGGUGGAAGUUUAAUCCAAACCUGUGGAUACUCAUCUUCGACGUGAUGUUAGAAAUUGUUAGUAAUAGAGUCCAUGCUUCUGAAGUCGUGUUCCACAAAAAUAAAACUCAUUCAAUUCAAGAUCCUUAAUUAUUCUCCCUUAGUUCUUGUUUCUUUUUUGCAACCCCAACUUCCAAUUCAAACAUCAUGGUUCCAGAGGUAGACCAUAGAAUGGUUUCAGGGCCCAAGGUACGCAAGGAAUCGCUGGUGGCCAAGCAGCCCUUGCGAAAUCCACGGAGGCCGAAUCGUGAAGAUAAAAUUCUGAUGGCCAGACGCAUAGCAACAUCUUAGCAGACUGUCUGAAGCAAACAAUAAGGGUCUUUGUUAUCAUGUUGUCUAAUGCAACAUGUGUCCUGAAAAAACUACUUGUAAUAGGGUGUGUGAAUCUUGCUAUCAACUUAUGAACAAUACCGGUACGUGAUUUGUAAAAAAAAACAAUACCGGUACAUACAAUAUCGUCCUAUAGCAUCGACUCCAUACUUUUUAGGAUCGAUCAUCAGAUACACUCUUAGUUCUCACUCUUGAUUAUGAGGUGGUUCACUUCUUGAACUCAAGUGACUAACACCGACAAUGCGGAAGAUUCACCUGAACCCAUAAACAGAUCAUAUGCUAGACGAAAAAAUCUCUUACAAUUCAUAAAUACUUGCUGACAAUAUGUUUAAAAACAUCCCAUAUUAUUUACACGCCGCUAAUAUGGAAAUAUAAUUCACAUCUACCAGAUGAUUUGGAUUUUCUUCAGCACAAACUAGCUAUAGUUGAAAAGGAAAUUGGCAUCCAUGGACCAUGUGGAUGUUGAGCGUAGAGAUCUAUUUGGUGACUUGGGCAAUCAUAUUGCUAAUGGAAGUGGCCUCCUCCUUAGCCAUCUCCACCAUGGAAUCCUGCAUUCAUGAAUCAACUCAUAGUUAUUGCAUUCUUAUAUUUCCAAAGGCCAUAACACAAUCAAAUAUCAUACAUGCUUUCUUUCUUCUUACAUGCGUGGACAUCAAUCUUAUCACAGCUCGUUUACUCGAUUCCUGAAACUCCCCUGCUAUCAGAAUCUCAUCCAGUAUGUAGUAAGCCUUGUGAAAAUUGAAGAUCAAGUCCAAUUCACACACCUAAUCAAAACCAUUCCAAAUUCAGUACUCUGGUCAGACGAAACGAGAAUUGAGGAAUCGCAGCAUUAAGAAUACUUACGCUACCAAAAUAUCGAUCAAGUAUUUCGACAAAGUGGUGAAUGAUGUCAAGAACUUCCAACUCGUUGUCCGCCUCGUCGAUGCACAUGCAGAAAUACAACCCUGCAUACCUUCUGUAAAUGACCCUGUACCCUCUCCACUCGACGAAAUUGCAGAGCUUCGGACCCCGAUUCAGCACUAUUCCACUCAGCUCCCUUAUGACCUUCGAUCUUUCCUUCUGGGUGUAAGGAGAGUACCAUUUCGUCAGCCUCACUUUCCCUUGACGACUGAUGAGAAGAACGAAGUGAAUCUGCAAACACAACGUGAGAUUAGUGUGACAAUGAUCAUCUGUAUAUUAAUCAAGCCAUGGAAACGAACCAUCUGGUAGAGUUGGAAACCAGCUAUAGCUUAAAAUCAAACGCCAGAAUGAAUAUGAAUUCAGAGCAGAAGGAAUUUUGUUGUCUAUGGGGUGAUGAAUUAUUGAUGAGCAAAUUAAUUGUUCAUGAGGGUUAUUUACUCCGCGAAAUGCUCUCCCACCCUCCAUUUCUAUCAACACUCCAAGUUUUUCUCUUCAAUAACCGGUCUUCCAUUUCUAUCGCCUCUCACGUUAUGUAUCACUGUUUAACUUAACUUUUUAUUCCCCCCUUGUUAUCAUUUUUGAACCACCUUAAUAAGAUAGGACUGAAUGUACGUACAACUAUAAAACUUAACUUCAGUGUUGUUAUCUCCACCUUUAUUCCAGGUUUGAUUUGUGCAUAAAUUCUCAUCAUUAAUAAUACAAACUUGAUCUCCUUCUGGAAAAAAACUUCAGUGUUAGAGGUACGUAUGAUACUAAAUUAGCAAUUUCGAGUUUUGCUGACGGAGAACAAGAAUUGGGGGUGUAGCUCAUAUGGUAGAGCGCUCGCUUCGCAUGCGAGAGGCACGGGGUUCGAUUCCCCGCACCUCCAUUUUUUUUACAGUCAUUUUCAUCUCCGGCGCCAAAAUCAGUGUGGAAUGGCGGGAACCGGCAAACAAAUUGAAACAGAAAACCCAGAUAAAAUAAAUCCAUCUUUGCCUGCCUGCAUCCCCGCUACUAAUCAGUAAUCACAGUUUUCUGCUUCUUCAAGGCGUUCUUCAAAUUUCUCCGUCACAUCCGCCAUUUCGGUCUGAUCGUAGUUAUUUAUUUAUUUUCCCUAUUUCGGCAUACCUUUCAUCGCAACUGGGUGAAGAUGGGAAAGAGAAAGAAAUCUAGGGUUUCACGCGAAGACGAGGAAAUCGAAUUGGAAGGAGAAGAAGAACGAAACGAGGAUCAGAAUGACAAUGAGACCACCAACCAGUCCUCUGGAGACGAGAAAAGCCUUUACGAGGUACUUCAAUUUCGCCUUCUCGCCGUCAAUUGAUGUUUAGUGGGAUUUGCCCUAUUUGAUCUCAUUUGUUAUGAAUUAGGGUUUUGGGGUUGGUUGUGUGUGGAUAUUCUGUGUUUCUUUUUUUUUUGUCACUUGACCUCAACUAUUUGUUGGUAACCCAAUUUAUGUGCAGUGAUGAAUGUGCUGCAUUACUUGUUUGGUUAUUCGAACCGGCAGCCUUGUUAGCAGCUCUUAGUCUGAAAUUCGAAACUGAUACUCUGGAAUUCCUUUCAAAGUUUCAAUCAUUGUGCUUGCGAUGAACUAUGGAAAUAUGAGUACACGACUGAACUUCUUGAGCCUAUGAGAAUUUCAAGAGUGCCACUUACUUCCCCUAAACAGCAGUUUGAUUUGUUGGUUGAACAUAUUGCGCUAGAUGUUUACUUAUGAAAUGCAUUUCUGAUAUUUAUUGUUAUUAUACAUGAGGAUCUGGCAGCAUUUUACUUGAUCCGAAUAGGUUUUCCGGAAACAACCAACUGGAAUUUGCCUUAUGUCAGUUAUGUGUUAAUGUUCUUCGCCUGGUAGUUGCGUUUUUAUAUUUAUCAAGUUUCCCUCCUUAAGUUUCUUUGUUACGUAUACAUUUUGUAUAGUUAGGAUGGGGUGCUAGGUUCACUAAAUCAUAUAAUGGUGGAUGUAGGUUCUUGGUAUUAAGAAGACGGCCACUCAGCAAGAGAUAAAGAAAGCAUACCACAAAUUGGCCCUGAGACUCCAUCCCGACAAAAACCCAGAUGAUGAGGUAAUGAGUUGUGGAUCAGUAGAUGGGUGUCUUUUCUUCGGGCGUAAAUUAUUUUGAUAGUUACAAAUUUUCCUCCUUACAGGAAGCGAAAGAGAAGUUUCAGCAAUUACAGAAGGUGAUUUCCAUUCUCGGAGAUGAGGAAAAGCGGGCAGUCUAUGAUCAAACUGGCUGUGUUGAUGAUGCGGUAAGUUCUUAGGACCCGGGAUCUAACAUGUAGUUACGCGUGGCUUGUUUUCAUGGUCCAAAAAUCAAACCAAAACUGAAGUCCAUGUUUGACACUGGUAUGUGUGAUACUAUAUCAUAUGGCAAUCAACAGUGUUGACGAGAGCAAUUGCUAUGCAAAGGAAGAAUCAACAAUUGUUCGUUACCACCACACUUUUGUAUCUUGAUGGAGUAUGUUUUUCAUUUGGCUUUGCUAUUUUCAGGACCUUGCAGGUGAUGUUGUCCAGAAUUUGAAGGAAUUUUUCAGAACAAUGUACAAAAAGGUAGGAUUUUUAUUCGUGUAUCUACUAAUCCUUAUGGUAUCACGUUGCACACCUUCGUAUCACCAAUGUUGUAAGACUGUAACUUAUUGCGUUAAAAACAGGUUACAGAAGCUGAUAUUGAAGAGUUUGAAGCAAAUUAUAGAGGAUCUGAUUCGGAGAAAAAUGACUUGGUUGACCUUUAUAAGCAGUGCAAGGGCAGUAUGAAUAGGUAUGUAUGUAAGCUUUCAAUCUAGUAUAUGAUGACCUUCCGGAUUUAACCUAUACAAAGGUUUUAACUUGUCUCUAAUUCCCAGGGUCUUCUGUUCUAUGCUCUGCUCUGACCCUAAGCUUGAUUCACACCGAUUCAAAGUCAUUCUGGAUGAGGCAAUAUCUGCAGGUAAUGCUUCUGUAGUUAUGAAGAAUCAUUUAUCAUUUCUGGCUCAAAAUAUUUCAAUCAUGAGACUAUUAGAUCUUGAAUUGUCUUGUAAUUUUUUCCUGGUUGAACCAUUUAAGCACACAUUAGAAUGUUUGUUUGUUAAAUUUGCAGGAGAAGUGAAAGCAACAAAGGGUUACGAAAAAUGGGGGAAGAAAGUAGAAAGAACGAAGGCGCCUAAGAAUCUGUUGAGAAGGAGAGGUAAACAGAAGCAUAGAGCGGUGGAAGACGAUCUACUUGCUCUUAUGGCGAAUAGGCAGAGUGAGAGGAAAGAUCGGUUUGAUUCAAUGUUCUCUUCACUUGUGUCCAAAUAUGGGGGAGGUAGCACACCUUCAGAACCAACUGAUGAGGAGUUUGAAGCCACCAGAAAGAAAAUGGAGAGCCGUAGAGCAUCAUCAUCCAAGAAGGCUAAGAGAAAGUAGACAUGCAGGCGCCUUCUGGUUGCAGAGAUUUUUGUGAGAUAAACAAAACUCUUCCAGAAUCGGAUGCUGAGUUCAAUAUAUGAACUGAUAACUGAUAAGUCUGUUACUUCCGUAACUCAACAAAACUUGUUUCAGAGUCGAAUUGUUUGCUUGGAAAUUGGUUGUAUCUUCAUUCGUCCCCUUAUUAUCGGUCACUACAAACUAUAAGAUUUUAGCGACAGAAAAGUAGAUGUCGAAUAAAGGUAAGCAUUGGUCGCAGGAAAUCAUUCGUGACAGAUACAAACGUCACCAUGUCUAUCACGAAUACUAUGGUACCCGAAUUUUAGUUUCUGUCAUUAAUUUUUAACUUCUGGGACAAAUUGGCAAGAGGAUGUGAUCUCUUUCGUGACCAAAUAUUUAGUGACCGAUUGCAUUUCCUUUGAAAUUGGCCAAACGUUGCAGUGUCUUUUUCAAUUAGCCAACUUUUGGCCUAGUUCAAUGGAAACGGAAUUUGUAAGCCCUUGUGGUUAUGAUCAUUUUUAUAAUUUUGAUUGGGUUUAAUCUGAAUUUAUUAUUUCGCAUUAAUUUGUGAUUGUUAAUAUAAUUUUUUUUGUAAAGAGCAUUAAUUUAUUACUUCUAAUGUGAGGUAGGAGGAUGUAGGGGAAAUCGGUCUAGCAAAGCAAAUUAUAAUCAAAGAAAUGGAAGUCUAUAAUUACAUAAUUAUAUUAAAAUAAUACCAAGUUAUUUGAUGAAUGAUAAGAUUCAAUCGAUUGAAUUAUCUGCGCCGAUACAAUACUUAAAAUACUCAAAGAAAAUCAUAAUUAAGAAAUGGAAUUGUAUCAAUAUAUUAAUGAACAAAUAUCCUUCAUUUCAAUAAAAAAAUGCUACCAACUUAGGUGCAUUUUAAUUCAACUUACAAACAGAUUGGAAUGAAAAACGGAGUAAAAUUAUAUGAAUGCAUUCCCUUCUCUUGCAUUUUUUUUCGUUAUUUAUAUUUUCAUUUUUAUUCAUUGCUCAUGUUUUCGCUCGUCGUUUGAUUUAUGUAUAAAUUGAUGAUGAUCACUGGAAAUAGUAACCAAAGAGAGAAACGAGGGAAGCUCCAACCAAAGUGCCAAAAGCAGGCAAUGCGGAGCUGGCAUCACUGGUGGGGCCACCAGCAGGCCCUCCUGCGGCGGUAGGACCUCCGGCGGCCAUAGGGGCGCCGGCGGCAGUGACGGGGCUUGCGGACGGAGUGAGCAAUGCAGCUUCUUCAGCGGCCAAGACAGCGCUGAUGGAGGCGGCGGCGAAGAUGACGGCGCAGGAGAUCUUCUUCAUGUUCAUGGUUGCAAAUUAGGAUGCUUUGGCCACGAAGAGAAGAAGACUUUACUGGACGACGUACGGAACCUGCUUUAUUAAUUUAUUUCUUUUGCUUCUUUUUUUGUGUGUGUUUUUUUUGCAGGUUUGAAUAUGAAAGUGGGUUUGAAGGACAAUUUAUAGGGAGAAAUUAGACAUAUUUUUUGGAACUAUUCUUGGUAAUGGCUAUUCUUAGAGAUUUGGGUUAGGGAAACAGAAAUUAUUGGCUGUAAUUAAGAAAUUAUUGACCAAUUCUUCUGCCCUUCGUGUUGAAGUUCAGCUCAAAAGGGCAGUUUCGUAAUUAUACACUUUUUAUUAGAUUUAUUUAUUUUUUCUAAUUUUUUAUUUUAAUUAAUAUCUUUUACACAUGAAUUUGGAUUCGAAUAAUUUUUGUGUCAAAAUCUUAGUUUUUUAAAUACGAUUAAAACUAGUACGAACUUUUUUUUCUGAGGCCAAAGACGUGAGUUGACUGCUCAAAACUACACAUUAUAUGUAUCACCAAACUAUAGGUAGUUAUUAGCAACUUAGACGUAGUUAUUUAGGAACUNNNNNNNNNNNNNNNNNNNNNNNNNNNNNNNNNNNNNNNNNNNNNNNNNNNNNNNNNNNNNNNNNNNNNNNNNNNNNNNNNNNNNNNNNNNAGGUAGAGGUAGUUAUUAGCUACUUUGAGCUAGUUAUUAACAACUUACUUUUACUUAUAAACAACUUAAACCUAAAGUAGACAUAAAGAAGGAAAAGUAGUUAUUAGCAACUUAGACAUAGGUAUUGAGGAACUUCUCGUAGUUAUUAACAAUUUAGACGUAGUUAUUGAGGAACCUCUCGUGGUUAUUAGCAACUUAGACGUAGUUAUUCUUCUCGUAGUUAUUAGCAAAUUGGAGGUAUUGAACGCUCCAUGUUCCUAAUAUGUACAUUUUACGGCUGAAUGAUGUAAGAUCAUCCCCUCAAAAUGAAGUGAUGACGAGCCCCCUAAAAAACACGAGUGAUUUCCUCGGAAAAAUACACGUUUUUAAAAGUUCUCAAAUACUAUCAAUAUUGAUAUCANNNNNNNNNNNNNNNNNNNNNNNNNNNNNNNNNNNNNNNNNNNNNNNNNNNUGUCAAGAGUAUGUUAAAAUAAAAAGAGAUAUACUCGAAAUAAGGUGUAAAAAAUUAAUAUCGAACUUGUUACAUUCGUCUUCAAAAGGUGAGUCUUUCUAUAUAAAAAAUAUAAAAAUCAGGUUCAAACUGAACGAAUUAUGUUAGUUCAAAAAAAUAAUAGAAAAAAUACAUUUUUAUGAUAUUUAAACAGCCUACUCAAAUUUGAGCUGUUAAAUUAAAAAGGGUUGAAUAAAAGAUUAUUUGAUGACUAAGAUUCUUUCAGCGGCCUGCGGAAGAGCCUCUUUUAACACCAGAAGCAGGUCUUAUUAGAAUGACUUUUGUAAGGGUGUGGUUUUGUCUGGUUCAAGGAGGAAAAUCCUCAUUGAUCUGGUUUAUGUCAUUAGAUCUAUUUUAGUUUUUCAACAGAGUCGCCCAUUAGCAUAUAUCGGGCGGCCUUUCGAUACAGGACCUCAAUAUUUUGGGAUAGGGCUUCUAAAUUUUCAUUGGGCGGCCCUGUUUUACAAUAUACAUUUUUUUUAAUUCUAACCUCCAACUUCAAUUACGUUGGAGGUCUCAUGUAGGCAUGGAUUGUAUGACAAUUUUCCACACAUAAGACCUCCAACUUACUCGGAGUUGAAGGCUAAUAGGUGCAGUGAAUCUAGUAGACAAUUCUAAAAUUAAAAACCUCUUGAACAAUGAUUAGAGUAUAGACUAAAGUCAUCUGACUCGCAUCUCUUUGAUGCGUUGGAUGAAAUCUAUUCUACGCACACUACCUUUUACUAAAGCUUACCACAAGCAGACUAGAAUUCUUCCUAGUAAGGAGAAACUUUAUCUUUGGUACCAUGGUGGACAUUCCUACUUCCUGCGACAUUGUGGAUAUUGUUGAGCAUUGUUUUCUCAAUUUGAGCUCGCUUUUGAACUUACGAAACUUAUCGGGUAUAGCCCCUUAUGUGACACAUUAGCUAGGUUGGCUUGAACAAUGGUGCUUCCGUUUGAAGAACUGGAUAAUUUGACAUUGCUCGCUGUGUCAUCUUGAAAGUGUCCAUUCAAGCAUGUACCUUGUAAGGCAUGCCAGGAAAAUGUAAAUAAUAUGGUGAAAAUUGUGGAGAGAGGCUGAAACUUGGAGCCAUUAGUUGUUCGCCAAAUGUCACACUAGCGAACACAAAAGAAAAUAUCUCGACUUCUUUACUGCAACGUUCGUUGUGAACACAAAAACUGAAGCAUGGGAAUCAUGACAAAGAAAGAACACAGCGUCAGUUUGUAAUUAAAUGUACUCACAUGUAUACCACCACUAUGUGUGUGUGGAUUCGAGAAUUGUAACGUGUCGUGACAAUGGUUAUCUACCGUCCAGCUGUCAUCCAAGCAAGCACGUGCCAUAGCCUGUACAACAAAGCCCCAUACCUCCCGAGCCCAGCCCAUAACCAUAAAUUCAAUGGUCGAUUGCAAUGAAAUCCAACUUGAAAAUAAUAUGUAUAAUUAAGAACAAGAUUCUUAAUGCUGUGUAGCCCACACCGCAACGGAAUAAUUUUUCUUUUAGCUGUCUCCACCAUAUCAUGUCGACCAAUUAAUUCCUACAUAUAUUUUUUUUCAUUUAUUCGCUUUUAAUUUAAGCACAAGAGGGCCCCACCUCGCCCACCUGCCGCGCCGCGGCCGUUGCUCCGCCCAAAAACCCUUGCUAUAUAUAAAUCAUCCUCUCCCCCCACUUUGCAUUCCUUCAACCCACAGCAGCUAACUCUCAACUCUCUCAAAUUUCCAAACUCUCUUCAAAACCCUAUCCCUCUAUUCAUCCCCAAAACUCCUCUGUCCUCUACAAUGGCCCAUUCGAGCUUCUCAAAGGCAGCUACCCUCUCCGCGGCUGUCCUCGUCGCUUCCCUGGCGGGCCUGGGGUCCGCUCAGGGCAUGAUGGCCCCCCCUCCUCCGCUUGUCCUCGUCGCUUCCAUGGCCGCCAUGGUAUCCGCUCAGGACAUGAUGGCCCCUGCUCCCGCUCCCGCGAGCGUGGCCGGCGCUGGCUUCUCCGUUCCCGUUUCCGGAGCUGUUGUCGCAGUGUCCCUUGUGGCUUCCCUUAUGGGUUUCUUGAAGAUGUAGAGCGAUUUCCUCUCCGAUUUCUCUACCAUUCCUUCUUCUGAUUCCCCUCUCCUUUUCUCCGCUUUUUCCCUUUUUUGUGCUCUAUUGAGAUGUUGUGGGUUUUGUUUGUAUAUUGGGUUUGUGGUGGGGGUGUGUGAUGGUGGAGACGACUACUGUAUGACUGUAUCGGAUUCAUUGAUCUUUAUAUAUAUAUAACCUAUUCAUUCUUUUUUCUUCACAAUUUUUGUUCUAUACCUGUCUUCGCUAAUUACGGCUUCAAAUUGAUUGAGGAAUGUGUGAUUUCAGCUACCAACUAUCAUAAAGCUUAAGUCUUUACAGAUGGACUAGUUGUUGGAAAACUGUAGUUAAAUGAGUUGGGUAAAAGGGUCCUCCUUUGUUGCUCUUGCUGCAAAUUUGAUUAGCUUAUCUUCCCAAACUCCCCCGAUAGCAGAGCAAAACAAUCCCUACGGUCCAAGUAACCAUGUUUACAGCUGCAAUAGAAAUCCAAAACAUGUAAUUUCUCUCCUGCAUUGUGCAGUUUAUGUUCAACAAUCAACUGCAAUUGCAUGAACCUUUCCAGGAGUUGCAGUGCCUUCCCAGACUCUGCUAGGCCUCUGCUCAGUCAAUGAGAGCCGUCCAAUUCAUACCAAUUUUGAUAAUGUCCAUGAUGUUGGCCACCCAAAACUUAGCUGAAUUAUACUCCAUACCGUAAGGUGUAUGUAUGUGGCCAACAAGGAUGGUUUACCCGUUAUCAUUCAAUGCCUCUCCAUACUCCAGCUAUACAAUAAUAUCUAGCCAACUUUUGCUAUGGCACUUCCCUCGUUCACUUGUCUUUAGUAGCUGGGCCACCAAUCAAAUCAAUGCUCAACUACUGGUUUGCACAUGGGAAGAUGCUCUCUUCUAAAGUCUGUCAAGAAAAGGAAACUCUUAAGUGGUGGCCGAAUAUUAGUAGCAUAUAUUCUGGGUGUUCUCAAGGGCAUUACUUAACACUCCAGGUUUUUACUAAAUUGGUAGUAGACAAAAAAAAAAGAGAAGCAUUGGGUUCUACCAGCACUUAGUAGAGUUAAUGGACUGUGACUCAUGAGUAUUGACACGUCUGAUUGUAUUGAAAUUUCACAGACACGCCGGAUAUCGACCAAGUGAGAUGUAAAGAGUCCUCUCCGAUUUCUCUACCAUUCCUUCUUCUGAUUCCCCUCUCCUUUUCUCCGCUUUUUCCCUUUUUUGUGCUCUAUUGAGAUGUUGUGGGUUUUGUUUGUAUAUUGGGUUUGUGGUGGGGGUGUGUGAUGGUGGAGACGACUACUGUAUGACUGUAUCGGAUUCAUUGAUCUUUAUAUAUAUAUAACCUAUUCAUUCUUUUUUCUUCACAAUUUUUGUUCUAUACCUGUCUUCGCUAAUUACGGCUUCAAAUUGAUUGAGGAAUGUGUGAUUUCAGCUACCAACUAUCAUAAAGCUUAAGUCUUUACAGAUGGACUAGUUGUUGGAAAACUGUAGUUAAAUGAGUUGGGUAAAAGGGUCCUCCUUUGUUGCUCUUGCUGCAAAUUUGAUUAGCUUAUCUUCCCAAACUCCCCCGAUAGCAGAGCAAAACAAUCCCUACGGUCCAAGUAACCAUGUUUACAGCUGCAAUAGAAAUCCAAAACAUGUAAUUUCUCUCCUGCAUUGUGCAGUUUAUGUUCAACAAUCAACUGCAAUUGCAUGAACCUUUCCAGGAGUUGCAGUGCCUUCCCAGACUCUGCUAGGCCUCUGCUCAGUCAAUGAGAGCCGUCCAAUUCAUACCAAUUUUGAUAAUGUCCAUGAUGUUGGCCACCCAAAACUUAGCUGAAUUAUAC
rnacentral:lncRNA from 1 species